GAGAUGCAGCUCCCAAAAGAAGAGUAUCAUUGUUGCCAGAAGAAAGUGUGAUUUUCACAGAUCCACACCAUCCAGCGGAUAGGGGGCAGAAGGAACUGAAGAUGGAAAGGGACAUUCACACUCUACCUAGCCUCUGGCAGAACUAGGCUGCGUCCAACUCUGUGUGUCCUCUACCCCUAGCUCUAGAGUCUUUGAUCUGCCUGCACUUUGCUGUGGGACACUGGACGAGUCAC